rnacentral:rRNA from 1 species
GAUGAACGCUGGCGGCGUGCCUAAUACAUGCAAGUCGAGCGAACAGACGAUGAGCUUGCUCCUUUGACGUUAGCGGCGGACGGGUGAGUAACACGUAGGUCACCUACCUAUAAUACUGGUAUCACUUCGGGAAACCGGAGCUAACACCGUAGAAUAUUUCGAACCGCAUGGUUCGAUAGUGAAAGAUGGCUUUGCUAGCACGUCUCGAUGGACCUGCGCCGUAUUAGCUAGUUGGUAGGGUAACGGCUUACCAAGGCAACGAUACGUAGCCGAGGUGAGAGGGUGAUAGGCGGCACUGGAGCGUGGCCGCGGUCAUGGGGCCUAAGGGAGGCCGCAGUAGCCAAUCGGACGCAGUGGGCGGAAGCAUGACGGAGCGAGGGCGCGUCAGUGAUGACAGUCUUGGGAUCGGAAAACUCGGUUAUGAGGGAAGAACAACCGUGUAAGUAACUGUGCACGGCUUGACGGUACCUGGUAAGGAAGCAACGGCUAACUACGUG